AUAAUCCUUAGCCUCAUCCGCAAUCCAACCAAUUCUUUCCUCAUCAUUUUUGCUGCCAGUUCCUUCUUUAUCUUGUGAUUUCUCCUUGUUUUGAUCUGUUUUCCUAUCAUCUUCCAAAAUUCUCUCUUUUCCUCUGUCCUUGCCAAUGUUCCUAUAGCUUUCCUUGUCCUCUUGAUCUCUGUGUUUCUCUCUCCCCUUCUCCCUUUCAUUUUCAUUUGAUCGGUCCUUGUCCUUGUCCUUCUUCUUCCUAUCCCUAUCCCUA
rnacentral:misc_RNA from 1 species